CACCGCCCAGCGCUCGGGUGCUGGACGGUGCAACCGCCCAGCCAAGGAGGUGUCACCGCCCAGCCAGGCGGUGCCACCGCCUGGCUCUCCAAUUCAUUUGUUUGGCUUAAUUUUAGCCCAAACCAAAUCUGACUUUGGGCCCAGUUGGCCCCUAACCAGGAUAUAGGAUUAUCUCUUAAUCCUAAUCCUAAUUACAGGUGAACUACAUAACACAAAAAAACAUCCUAAACAAGUUUUUUAACCGCGAACGUCGAGUCUUGUUCCGGCGAGCUUUCCGACGAACUUCUUCCGACGGACUCCCUGCAAGCUCCCAAUCUUUGUGAUGACUUUAACGAGUAGCCGAGCCUUCUC
rnacentral:lncRNA from 1 species